GUGAGAAUCCUGCAGAGAUGCGGGAGUGCCUUCGGGAAUUCACAUACAGGUGCUGCAUGGCUGUCGUCAGCUCGUGUCGUGAGAUGUUGGGUUAAGUCCCGCAACGAGCGCAACCCUUUUCCUUAUUUGCCAGCGGGUUAAGCCGGGAACUUUAAGGAUACUGCCAGUGACAAACUGGAGGAAGGCGGGGACGACGUCAAGUCAUCAUGGCCCUUACGACCAGGGCUACACACGUGCUACAAUGGUAGGUACAGAGGGUUGCUACACAGCGAUGUGAUGCUAAUCUCAAAAAGCCU
rnacentral:rRNA from 1 species